rnacentral:rRNA from 1 species
CCUACGGGAGGCAGCAGUGAGGAAUAUUGGUCAAUGGGCGAGAGCCUGAACCAGCCAAGUCGCGUGAGGGAGUACUGCCCUAUGGGUUGUAAACCUCUUUUGUCGGGGAGCAAAAGCCGGACGUGUCCGGCUGUGAGAGUACCCGAAGAAAAAGCAUCGGCUAACUCCGUGCCAGCAGCCGCGGUAAUACGGAGGAUGCGGGCGUUAUCCGGAUUUAUUGGGUUUAAAGGGUGUGCAGGAGGAUUUUUAAGUCAGCGGUAAAAUCGUGGGGCUCAACCCCAUCCAGCCGUUGAAACUGGGGAUCUAGAGUGUGCGAGAGGUAUGCGGAAUGCGUGGUGUAGCGGUGAAAUGCAUAGAUAUCACGCAGAACCCCGAUUGCGAAGGCAGCAUACCGGUGCACAACUGACGCUCAGGCACGAAAGCGUGGGUAUCGAACAGGAUUAGAUACCCCUGUAGUC